GACGAACGCUGGCGGCGUGCUUAACACAUGCAAGUCGAACGGAAAGGCCCUGCUUUUGUGGGGUGCUCGAGUGGCGAACGGGUGAGUAACACGUGAGUAACCUGCCCUUGACUUUGGGAUAACUUCAGGAAACUGGGGCUAAUACCGGAUAGGAGCUCCUGCUGCAUGCUGGGGGUUGGAAAGUUUCGGCGGUUGGGGAUGGACUCGCGGCUUAUCAGCUUGUUGGUGGGGUAGUGGCUUACCAAGGCUUUGACGGGUAGCCGGCCUGAGAGGGUGGCCGGCCACAUUGGGACUGAGAUACGGCCCAGACUCCUACGGGAGGCAGCAGUGGGGAAUAUUGCACAAUGGGCGGAAGCCUGAUGCAGCAACGCCGCGUGCGGGAUGACGGCCUUCGGGUUGUAAACCGCUUUCGCCUGUGACGAAGCGUGAGUGACGGUAAUGGGUAAAGAAGCACCGGCUAACUACGUG
rnacentral:rRNA from 1 species